GACGAACCGUGCAAACGUUGUUCGGAAUUACUGGGCGUAAAGGGCUCGUAGGCGGCCAACUAAGUCCGACGUGAAAUCCCAAGGCUUAACCUUGGAACUGCGUCUGAUACUGGAUGGCUUGAGUUUGGGAGAGGGAUGCGGAAUUCCAGGUGUAGCGGUGAAAUUCGUAGAUAUUGGGAAGAACACCAGUGGCGAAGGCGGCUAACUGGUCCAGCACUGACGCUGAGGUGCGAAAGCGUGGGGAGCAAACAGG
rnacentral:rRNA from 1 species